GAUGAACGCUGGCGGCGUGCUUAACACAUGCAAGUCGAACGGGAAUUACUUUAUUGAAACUUCGGUCGAUUUAAUUUAAUUCUAGUGGCGGACGGGUGAGUAACGCGUGGGUAACCUGCCUUGUACAGGGGGAUAACAGUCAGAAAUGACUGCUAAUACCGCAUAAGCGCACAGGACCGCAUGGUCCGGUGUGAAAAACUCCGGUGGUAUAAGAUGGACCCGCGUUGGAUUAGCUUGUUGGUGGGGUAACGGCCCACCAAGGCGACGAUCCAUAGCCGGCCUGAGAGGGUGAACGGCCACAUUGGGACUGAGACACGGCCCAGACUCCUACGGGAGGCAGCAGUGGGGAAUAUUGCACAGUGGGGGAAACCCUGAUGCAGCGACGCCGCGUGAAGGAAGAAGUAUCUCGGUAUGUAAACUUCUAUCAGCAGGGAAGAAAAUGACGGUACCUGACUAAGAAGCCCCGGCUAACUACGUGCCAGCAGCCGCGGUAAUACGUAGGGGGCAAGCGUUAUCCGGAUUUACUGGGUGUAAAGGGAGCGUAGACGGAUGGACAAGUCUGAUGUGAAAGGCUGGGGCUCAACCCCGGGACUGCAUUGGAAACUGCCCGUCUUGAGUGCCGGAGAGGUAAGCGGAAUUCCUAGUGUAGCGGUGAAAUGCGUAGAUAUUAGGAGGAACACCAGUGGCGAAGGCGGCUUACUGGACGGUAACUGACGUUGAGGCUC
rnacentral:rRNA from 1 species